rnacentral:lncRNA from 1 species
AGAGGCCUUACAACGUCCGAAUGCGCCCCCACAGCCAUGUCAGGAACAGGAGGAGAACCUCGUCCUGACAUGAGCAAAGUCAAAAGCCCGAUUCUUUUAGACCGGAUGGGAGGAGAGGCCUUACAACGCCCUAAUGUGCCCCCACAGCCAUGUCAGGAAUAGGAGGAGAACCUCGUCCUGACAUGAGCAAAGUCGAAGGCCCGGUU